rnacentral:rRNA from 1 species
UACGUAAGGGGCAAGCGUUAUCCGGAUUUACUGGGUGUAAAGGGAGCGUAGACGGUGAGGCAAGUCUGAUGUGAAAACCCCGGGGCUCAACUCCGGGAUUGCAUUGGAAACUGUCUGACUUGAGUACUGGAGGGGCAGGCGGAAUUCCUGGUGUAGCGGUGGAAUGCGUAGAUAUCAGGAGGAACACCGGUGGCGAAGGCGGCCUGCUGGACAGUAACUGACGUUGAGGCUCGAAAGCGUGGGGAGCAAACAGGAUUAGAUACCCGUGUAGUCCCU